GCUCUGUGUCAGUAAUAAAAUGGCUGGUAUUUGGAUACUCUCAAAGGCCAGUUGUUCUCACCCUGGCCUUUAGCUAUGGCACCAACACAUUGUCAACUAAGUGAUCACAGUGCUUUUUGACUCUUGAGCUCUUGGAAGUCUUCUCUGACGUGCUUCCAGGGGAGGAAUAUCAUCAAGACGAGCAAGAGGAAAAAUGAGGAAGUCUCUGGAGAGCCUGACUCAUAGGUAUGGGCCUUAUUGACUAUAAUGAUCACCAACCUCAGAUGACACCCUGAAGUGGCAUGUCUUUUGCUACCAAGAGGACUGCCCUAUGCAGACCUCUUCCCAGAUAACAGCCUCGAGAGCAGCAGGUUUAGACAAGCGGCCAUAGUUAUCUUCUAUCUGACAGGAGAAGUAAGACUUCCAUUUACCAAUGAAGAUAACAUGGCAACAAAAGAACAAAGAGAUGUCAUACUCUUCUUCCAGGGGCCAAUUUUCUUACUUCUGGAUGGAUGCACUCUGUCAUCAAGAAUACCCUGAGACUUUCCAUGGCCUCAUUUAUACUACCUUGGGCCUCUCUUUAAUGCUCACAGACUACAAAUAUGUAUAACCAUGUAUUUUCAAAAUACUUUCCAAUGUAUAUUUCUUUCUGCCUGGUACUCAUUUUUCAUUUUCAUUUUAGCUUCAUUGAAAUAGAAAAGACAGGGUACAAUUUAGGGGAAAGGAAAAGAUGGCAAGGAAAAACUAUCUUUCUCCAUGGAGGUCUGAAAGAAAAUCAUGGAAGUAAGUAAUCAGAUAUUCAUGUAUCAAGGGCCAUAGAGCCUUGCAGGAAGCAAAGUGAACCCACAGGCUGUGUAGUGGAUGGUCUGAUCCGGGAUCCCUUUGGAGCACUUGACAGCAACUCAGAGUGAUCUAUAGAAGCGGGAAGAGUCGAGAGGAGGUCAGUCAAUAGGGAGAAGGCCCUGGACCGUGAUCAAACCAUGAAACAUACCACAAAUUCAUCACAUGCAGCAUGCCCUGAGAAAGUAGUCAGCAAACCGGAACUCUGUGGAUACCAAUCAGCAUUCACCCAAGGAGACCACCUUCUUCCCAAACCUAUGAAGGUCUUUCUCCUUUUCACUGACACCAUCUUAAAAGAGGACAAGGGUGGAGGGAGGAAUCUGAAUAAUACCUCAACAAGAAAAUUUACCCUACUGGGCUAAGUUAAAAACCAGCCUGCAAAUAUGGAAACUAAUUUCUGUGCAAUCCCAGGGUAGUGUAGUUCUGUGUCCUUGAUAUUAAUGAAGUCGCUAAAUAGACAAAGCUAGGAAGACAACAAAGUACAGGGUGUGUAUGAGAAGGUAGUAGGAGGUGAAUGAUUUUCAGAUGAUGUUCAAAUUCUCUCAAGAAUCUAUAGUCACAGAAUUUACUUUACUGGAACAGCAUUGGCCUUGGGCAAAAUUCAUCUUAGGUGUCUUGUUCAAAACAGCAUUCACUGGGCACUUGUGCUAGUCACUGCAGAUAACCUAUUAAAUAAAACAUGCCCAGCACUUGGAUUUCAGCACCAUCUUCCCCCCCACAGUGUCAACAAGGAGGUGCUUUCAAGGAGGUGUUCAUGUUUGUCAUGCACACCUUAGUGUAAAUUAAAUUAAUAUGUCUGCCCUCUAUAAUUUGUGGUUUGUUGUGGUGGUGGUGGUUUAUAUUUUUAUGUCAUUCUCAAUUAUAAAAAGCAAAGCUAUGAUCUCUGCUAGAGCAACUUUCAGGCAAUAGUAAACACCUAUGGAGCUAAAUAUCUUUUCAUCAAAUAUCUUUUCACCCAGGAAGUCUUCUUCCCCCAAAUUCAUUCAGCAAAUAUUAAGUACUGACUCUCUUACAGACCCACAAUUAAAUACUAGAAAGACUUAGAUAUCUCUCUGACAUCUCCACUUGGAAGUUCCAUAAGUACCUCGAAUUGAAUAUAACCUAAGAAAAGUACGUGAUUCUCGCCCACCCAAACCUGUUCAUUGCAUUUUCCUACCACACUAAAUGGCAGAGUCCACCAAAUGGCAUGAACCCAGUGGGUUCAAGUCAGAAAUCCUGGCAUAAUCUAAUUCUUGCACUUUAAUAACACUGCCCCUCAGAAACACACACUAGUGCACACACUGACACACAUACCCACACGGGUACUGUUAAUUUAAUAAGGAGGCACUUAGAAUGAUAUGGUUCUAAUGUCAGGCAGCCUAUAUAACCAAACCAAAAUCUAUGCCUACAAAUGCUUCAAGGUUUCAAAAUCAAAGCCUCUGGACGAUCAAUCACAAACAGCCAAAUAGACUGUAAGCUUAGCCAAUUAAUAAUUCCCUUGACUCACUCCCACCUCUUCUCUAUGAAAAUGUCUCCCUGAGCUCCUGCCAGUGGAACACUCCUAACAAUUUCCAGUUUGGUACUACCCAAUUCAAACAGAUUUUUGCUCAAUUAAACUCCUAAAAUUGUUAAUAAGCCUUAGUUUAUCUUUUAACAGUACAUACAUACAUGCCCAAGGAAUCAUUCCUGCUGAUCCUGUCUCCAAAUCAGAUAGUGGAGGAAAAAUAAUUUUCCCUGAACCCUUCUGAGUUCUUGGUUGAGACCCCCGGUGAUAAAAGAUUAAGAGACAAACAAGUUUAUUAACAUGUAUACCUCAUGUAUAUAUGGAAGAUACCCAAGAAAAAUAACUAAACGCCUGAGAUGACCCAAGCCACCACCUUAAAUACCAUCUUCAGCUAAAGACAAAAGAAAGAUGGGAUGGGGUGGCCAAUUACAGAGGAGGUUAUCAGGAAAAGCGUAGUAAACAAAGGUAUAGUUGUUCCGCAGAUUUAAGUGAGUGUCUUCUCCAUUGUCAAAACUUUCUUGUGAUCUACAGACUUCUUCUUUUCCUGAUACAGAAAGAAACACUUUCCAUCUGUACCUGCCUCUCCAUGCCCUCUGUCAUUGCCAUCUCUCAACUGGUCAUCUCACACUGACUUGUGCUGCUUCACAGUCUCCUCUCAGCACUUGAAUCAGCAUUCAGGUCACCUUACUCUCCUGCUGAAACGCUUACUGGCUUCCCAGGACACCCAGAAUCCCACCCCUGCCCCUGUCCUCAGAGACUCUGUAUCAGCUACCCUGCUUUUAUCUCCCUGUGGAAUCUGCCCUUCCAACCUCCCCAGCCUUCCCUCUAGCCCCUUACCCCCCACCACCACCAUGUUCCAGGCAUGAUAGUCUCAAGCAGUUCUCAGAAUGGACCCCAUUCUUUCAACUUCUGGUACUUUGUACUUGCUAUUCCUUCUGCUUAAAAUUUGCUCUGCCAUUCCAUGAACGUGUCCUUCCCCUCCUCUAGGUUUCGAUUUAAAUAUCAUCUCACAAACAUCUUCCCUGACCAGCCCACCUAAGGUUACUCCUUGGUUUUCGUUAUCACAACAUUCUAUCUAUUUCCUUAAAAGCAAAAUUAUAGGUUGUAAAUAGCUGGUGUUUUUACUGGUAGCAUAACUUAACAGUUAAGAGUCUGGACUCUGAAGACACAGUCUCUGGGUUCAAAUUCUGGCUCUACCACUUACAACCUGUAUGGCCUUGAAAGGCUUACUUAACCUGUUGUACCUAGAUUCCCAUAUCUCUAAAAUCUGAAAAACAAUAGUACCUGCCUCACAGAGUGCUUAGAUGAUUAAAUGAGUCAAUGUGCAUGAAGCACUUCAAAUA